rnacentral:rRNA from 1 species
CCUACGGGUGGCUGCAGUGAGGAAUAUUGGUCAAUGGGCGUGAGCCUGAACCAGCCAAGCCGCGUGAGGGAUGACGGUUCUAUGGAUCGUAAACCUCUUUUAUCAGGGAAUAAAGUGCGGGACGUGUCCCGUUUUGUAUGUACCUUAUGAAUAAGGAUCGGCUAACUCCGUGCCAGCAGCCGGGGUAAUACGGAGGAUCCGAGCGUUAUCCGGAUUUAUUGGGUUUAAAGGGUGCGUAGGCGGCCUUUUAAGUCAGCGGGGAAAGUUUGUGGCGUAACCAUAGCAUGGCGGUUGAAACUGGGAGGCUUGAGUAGGUGAGAGGCAGGCGGAAUGCGUGGGGGAGCGGUGAAAUGCAUAGAUAUCACGCAGAACUCCGAUUGCGAAGGCAGCCUGCCAAGCCAUGACUGACGCUGAUGCACGAAAGCGUGGGGAUCAAACAGGAUUAGAUACCCGGGUAGUC